CGUACACUCCUGCGGGAGGCAGCAGUGGGGAAUAUUGCACAAUGGGCGCAAGCCUGAUGCAGCCAUGCCGCGUGUAUGAAGAAGGCCUUCGGGUUGUAAAGUACUUUCAGCGGGGAGGAAGGCGAUAAGGUUAAUAACCUUGUCGAUUGACGUUACCCGCAGAAGAAGCACCGGCUAACUCCGUGCCAGCAGCCGCGGUAAUACGGAGGGUGCAAGCGUUAAUCGGAAUUACUGGGCGUAAAGCGCACGCAGGCGGUCUGUCAAGUCGGAUGUGAAAUCCCCGGGCUCAACCUGGGAACUGCAUUCGAAACUGGCAGGCUAGAGUCUUGUAGAGGGGGGUAGAAUUCCAGGUGUAGCGGUGAAAUGCGUAGAGAUCUGGAGGAAUACCGGUGGCGAAGGCGGCCCCCUGGACAAAGACUGACGCUCAGGUGCGAAAGCGUGGGGAGCAAACAGGAUUAGAUACCCCGGUAGUCCC
rnacentral:rRNA from 1 species